AUGGAGGGCGGCCCGGCGAUGGCUCCGGCGGCCGCGUGGUGGCCAGGCGCGGGGGCGGGGGCGCAGGAGCAGGAGGAGAUGCGGUGGCGGCAGCUGGACGGCGGCGUCAGCGCCGUCUCCUUCGGCUUCGUCGCCACGGCCAUGCUCGUCUCCAUGUUCCUCGCCAUGGCCGUGCUCGAGCACUUCCUCCGCGCCCCGCCCAUGGGCCCGCCGGAGCCCUCGCCGCCCCGUGGACCAAGAGGGAUCCUCCUCCGCUUCCUCCGCAGCCGCCGCCGCGGUGGACCCCCAACCGCGGAUCUCGAGGCCGCCAGGAAGCUCGACGCCGGAUGCGCGUCCCCCGAGAUGCCCGUGUAUUCCAAAGGCGUAUCCGUCCUGAUGCCAGGACAGGACGUGCCGACGUUCAUCGCGCACCCCGCGCCCGCGCCCUGCCCCCCAGAGCGGGUCCGAUGGCCGUCGCACCAGCCCGCUCCUUUUGCCGGUUCCUCGUCGAAUACGUGCUAG
rnacentral:rRNA from 1 species